AGUGAACGCUGGCGGUAGGCCUAACACAUGCAAGUCGAACGGCAGCACAGGAGAGCUUGCUCUCUGGGUGGCGAGUGGCGGACGGGUGAGGAAUACAUCGGAAUCUACUCUGUCGUGGGGGAUAACGUAGGGAAACUUACGCUAAUACCGCAUACGACCUACGGGUGAAAGCAGGGGACCUUCGGGCCUUGCGCGAUUGAAUGAGCCGAUGUCGGAUUAGCUAGUUGGCGGGGUAAAGGCCCACCAAGGCGACGAUCCGUAGCUGGUCUGAGAGGAUGAUCAGCCACACUGGAACUGAGACACGGUCCAGACUCCUACGGGAGGCAACAGUGGGGGAUAUUGGACAAUGGGCGCAAGCCUGAUCCAGCCAUACCGCGUGGGUGAAGAAGGCCUUCGGGUUGUAAAGCCCUUUUGUAGGGAAAGAAAUCCAGCUGGCUAAUACCCGGUUGGGAUGACGGUACCCAAAGAAUAAGCACCGGCUAACUUCGUGCCAGCAGCCGCAGUAA
rnacentral:rRNA from 1 species